rnacentral:lncRNA from 1 species
AGGUAUAGUCCAGCUAUCCUGGCUUUGCACAACAUAGUUGUCCACCUUGCUGCACAGGGACAAUGUACCAUGGGAUGAAGACUUCAGCACAGCUCAGUGGGUCACCUGAAACCAGAAUUGAACUCCUCAGGUUGAAGGGCGUGACUGAAUGAUUGAGAAACCACCGUACCACAGACGACUGUCUUUGCUUUGUCGGCUGCUUGGCACCUGACCAAGGAAUUCUGAUUUCCUUCGAGUGUUUUCUUAAAUCUGUGGCAAUCUAAUAGACACUAAAGACAAACAGGUUUUCUGUGUAAAGAAACACUUACACAGAGGGAAAACCUAAUACCAUUGUGCUGCUAACAGAACAAAGCAAUAAAAUGACUUCUAAUGACAGGCUGCUGCACCCAGAGGUCAGGGCUUCCUUCCCUCAGCCAUCACCAGAGAUGCUUCGUCGUCCUGCAGUAGAUGGGAAAUGACACAGAGACCCACAACUGGACAAUGGACAGAGGAUCUGAGACCACUUCACGCAAAUGUACUGAUCACCAGGUCCUCUGCAACCCAGCUGAAGAAUGAAGGCACCGUAGAGCAAAGAAAGGUCUGGGAUGCUGAAAAGAGAGCAGAUCCCGAUUCUUGAGAUUUGAAGAACAAGUGGCCGGUCUCUGGGGCUCCAUCAUCACUUCCCAAAUCUACCUGGCAGGGAGGCUCUAGAG